rnacentral:lncRNA from 1 species
GAGGAGAUAAGAAUGCUGAGGAAGACUCUAUAACCAGUCUGUCUUCUUGGGUAGCUGAAUGCCCCUGAAGGCGUGGAAGGUCUUGCUAGUUAUUAUGGACCAAAAUAAGGCAAGCCCAGUGGAGGAAAAGAGUUGGCCUUGGGUCAGCUGCAGGAGCAGAAGCCACAGCUUGAGGCAACACCAUCUCUGGCAUCAGCAGCUCUGUAGGGAGGGGCGCUCUUUGGAGGGACUCCUGCAGGAGUCCAGGAGGCAGAAGAUGACCUGGCACCUGUGCAGGGACAGCCAGCAACCGUGCAGAGUGAACCAGCUCGUGCUCCAUAUUUUGCCUCUGCUCCUGCCUCUGCUCCUGCCUCUGCUCCUGCCUCUGCUCCUGCCUCUGCUCCUGCCUCUGCUCCUGCCUCUGCUGCUUCCACUGUUCCUGCUCCUAUUCCAGCUCCUGCCCCUGCUGCUGAAGAGUGUUUUUGCUCCUGACACUCUUCCUGCUCCUGCCUCUGCUGCUUCCACUGUUCCUGCUCCUAUUCCAGCUCCUGCCCCUGCCACUGCCUCUGCCCCUCUUCCUGUUCCUACCCCUGCCAUUGUUCUGCCCCUGUCCCUGUUCCUGUCCCCAGCCCUCCCACAGUCCCUGCCCCUGGCCUUGCUCCUGCCCGUUUGUGUCAUUACCCCUGCCCCUGCCCUUGGUCCUGUUCUUGCCUUGCCCCUGCCCAACACCCCAGCAGAAUGCUUCUUCCACUCCCCAUUUGUGCUUUCCUUCUGCUAUAAUUCAACUAUUAUUUUAUCAUUUUGUGUUUUGUAUAGUCUUUAUUAUUAA